rnacentral:tRNA from 4 species
ACGGGUGUAGCUCAGUUGGUAGAGUUACGGUCUCCAAAACCGCAGGUCGUGGGUUCGAAUCCUACCACCCGUG